CCCUUAGAUGUCCGGGGCUGCACGCGCGCUACACUGAAGGAAUCAGCGUGCUAAAACCAUUGUCGAAAGGCAUUGGUAAACCCAUUAAAAUCCUACGUGAUUGGGAUUGGGAAUUGCAAUUAUUUCCCUUGAACGAGGAAUUCCCAGUAAGUGUGGGUCAUAAGCUCGCGUUGAUUACGUCCCUGCCCUUUGUACACACCGCCCGUCGCUGCCCGGGACUGAGCCGUUUCGAGAAAAGCGGGGACUGCUGCUGUCGGGGCUUUCGGGCCUUGGCUUCGGUGGAAACCGCUUUAAUCGCAGUGGCUUGAACCGGGCAAAAGUCGUAACA
rnacentral:rRNA from 1 species